rnacentral:rRNA from 1 species
ACGAACGCUGGCGGCUGCUUAACACAUGCAAGUCGAACGGAGUGGCGAACGGGUGAGUAACGCGUGAGCAACCUGCCUAUGACAGUGGGAUAGCCUCGGGAAACCGGGAUUAAUACCGCAUAGUCAUAGAUGGGCUCGCGUCUGAUUAGCUAGUUGGUGAGAUAACAGCCCACCAAGGCGACGAUCAGUAGCCGGGCUGUGAGGAUGAACGGCCACAUUUGAACGGAGAAGCGGUCCAAACUCCUACGGAAGGCAGCAGUGGGGAAUAUUGCAAGAUGGGGGAAACCCUGAUGCAGCGACGCCGCGUGAACGAAGAAGGUAUUCGUAUAGUAAAGUGCUGUCCUAUGGGAAGCAGUACCAUAGAAGAAAGCUCCGGCUAAAUACGUGCCAGCCGCCGCGGUAAUAC